GAUGAACGCUAGCUACAGGCUUAACACAUGCAAGUCGAGGGGAAACGACAUCGAAAGCUUGCUUUUGAUGGGCGUCGACCGGCGCACGGGUGAGUAACGCGUAUCCAACCUGCCCACCACUUGGGGAUAACCUUGCGAAAGUAAGACUAAUACCCAAUGAUAUCUCUAGAAGACAUCUGAAAGAGAUUAAAGAUUUAUCGGUGAUGGAUGGGGAUGCGUCUGAUUAGCUUGUUGGCGGGGUAACGGCCCACCAAGGCAACGAUCAGUAGGGGUUCUGAGAGGAAGGUCCCCCACAUUGGAACUGGGACACGGUCCAAUGUCCUACGGGAGGGAGCAGUGAGGGAUAUUGGUGAAGGGAAGAGAGUAUGAACCAGCCAAGUAGCAUGCAGGAAGGCGGCGCUAUGGAUUAUAGACUGCUUUUAUAAGGGAAUAAAGUGAGUCGCGUGAGACUUUUUGCAUGUACCUGAUGAAUAAGGACCGGCUAAUUCCGUG
rnacentral:rRNA from 1 species